rnacentral:rRNA from 1 species
UGAGGAACAUGACCUUCGGCGGGGGAGUAGCCGGCCCAACGGCCGGGUAAUACCGCGUACGACCACAUGGGGACAUCCCUGAGUGGUGAAAGCAGCAAUGCGCCGAUGGAGUGCCUCGCGGCCUAUCAGCUAGUUGGUGAGGUAACGGCUCACCAAGGCAACGAUCCGUAGCUGGUCUGAGAGGAUGAUCAGCCACACUGGGACUGAGACACGGCCCAGACCUCCG